rnacentral:rRNA from 1 species
CCCCUAGUAGCGGCGAGCGAACCGGGAAGAGCUCAAAUUUAAAAUCUGGCGUCUUUCAGGCGUCCGAGUUGUAAUCUACAGAAGUGUUUUCCGUGCCGGACCGUGUCCAAGUCCCUUGGAAUAGGGUAUCAAAGAGGGUGAUAAUCCCGUACUUGACACGACAACCGGUGCUCUGUGAUACAUUUUCUACGAGUCGAGUUGUUUGGGAAUGCAGCUCAAAAUGGGUGGUAAAUUCCAUCUAAAGCUAAAUAUAGGCGAGAGACCGAUAGCGAACAAGUACCGUGAGGGAAAGAUGAAAAGCACUUUGGAAAGAGAGUUAAACAGUACGUGAAAUUGUUAAAAGGGAAACGAUUGAAGUCAGUCAUGUCUAUUGGUUUCAG